UAUAACAGUAUGCAUCUCUAGGUCUCUAUAACAGUCUGUAUCUCUAUGUCUCUAUAACAGUAUGUAUCUCUCUCCAGGUCUGUAUAACAGUAUCUCUCUCUCGGUCUCUAUAACAGUCUGUAUCUCUAGGUCUCUAUAACAGUAUGUAUCUCUAGGUCUCUAUAACAGUAUGUAUCUCUAGGUCUGUAUAACAGUAUGUAUCUCUAGGUCUGUAUA